UCUCUCUUCUUCUUCUUCUUAUCUUCUUCUUCACGGAUAUCUGCAACGCACUACCCAUUGCCCAAAAUGGCACCGUUGAAUACUUGAAGCUCCGAUUGCUCCACAUUAAGCCUUUCACUACCCCUUCCCAAGCUCUCUCAUUUGAUUCCCACCGCCUCUCCUUUUUCUUCUCCGCAUUGCACACCCCUCAAUCGCUCAAAUCUCCAGUAGUCUCCGGCGCCUCCACCGGCUCUGGCCAGUACUUCGUUGAUCUUAGGCUCGGAACCCCACCUCAGAAACUCCUCCUCGUGGCCGACACCGGCAGCGAUUUAGUGUGGGUCAAGUGCUCCGCUUGCCGAAACUGCACCAGACACACACCGGGAUCAGCCUUCUUGGCUCGCCACUCCACCACAUUCUCCCCCAACCACUGUUACGACUCGGCGUGUCAACUCGUUCCCCUCCCAAAACACCAUCGCUGCAACCACGCCCGCCUCCACAGUCCCUGUCGCUACGAGUACUCCUACGGCGACGGAUCCAAAACUAGUGGGUUUUU
rnacentral:lncRNA from 1 species